GAUGAACGCUAGCGACAGGCCUAACACAUGCAAGUCGAGGGGCAGCACAUGCGUAGCAAUACAAUGGUGGCGACCGGCGCACGGGUGAGUAACACGUAUGCAACCUACCUGUAAGAGGGGAAUAACCCGGAGAAAUUCGGACUAACACCGCAUAAUACCUCGAAGCUGCAUGGCUCUGAGGUUAAAUAUUUAUAGCUUACAGAUGGGCAUGCGUAACAUUAGAUAGUUGGUGAGGUAACGGCUCACCAAGUCAACGAUGUUUAGGGGUUCUGAGAGGAAGGUCCCCCACACUGGUACUGAGACACGGACCAGACUCCUACGGGAGGCAGCAGUGAGGAAUAUUGGUCAAUGGGCGAGAGCCUGAACCAGCCAAGUCGCGUGAAGGAAGAAGGUUCUAUGGAUUGUAAACUUCUUUUGUAAGGGAAUAAAAAAGCUUACGUGUAGGCUAUUGUAUGUACUUUACGAAUAAGGAUCGGCUAACUCCGUGCCAGCCGCCGCGGUAAAAC
rnacentral:rRNA from 1 species